GAAUGUGAGGGCAAUCUGGCUGCAACAUCUGUCACCCCAAUGAUCGCCAGGGUUGAUUUGUCUCAUCUAGUUGGUAGGAGAGUGUCCUCAUCCUCUCUCACUAUUUCAUCUGUGUCCCUCCCGAAGCUGCAUGCUUGCUCUGUCAAAGAGGAAGACCUUCCCUGAUAGAGGAGGACCAUUCUUCAGUCAAGAGUAUGAGUAGCUGCACUUCCCCGCUAGAACCUCCAAACAAGCUUUCAAGGUCCAUUUGUAGGAGAACUUAGGGUAGUCAAACUUCCAAGACUCUAGGCACAUUCAAAUGAGGCACUGCAUGUGGCAGUCUGCUUUUCUUU
ensembl:misc_RNA 7SK 7SK RNA